rnacentral:rRNA from 1 species
AGUAACCUGCCUUGGAGUGGGGAAUAACACAGUGAAAACUGUGCUAAUACCGCAUAAUGCAUUUGGGUCGCAUGAUUCUGAAUGCCAAAGAUUUAUCGCUCUGAGAUGGACUCGCGUCUGAUUAGCUGGUUGGCGGGGUAACGGCCCACCAAGGCGACGAUCAGUAGCCGGACUGAGAGGUUGGCCGGCCACAUUGGGACUGAGACACGGCCCAG